rnacentral:rRNA from 1 species
AACAGUUGGAAACGACUGCUAAGACUGGAUAGGAGACAAGAGGGCAUCUUCUUGUUUUUAAAAGACCUAGCAAUAGGUAUGCUUAGGGAGGAGCUUGCGUCACAUUAGUUAGUUGGUGGGGUAAAGGCCUACCAAGACUAUGAUGUGUAGCCGGGCUGAGAGGUUGAACGGCCACAUUGGGACUGAGACACGGCCCAAACUCCUACGGGAGGCAGCAGUAGGGAAUUUUCGGCAAUGGAGGAAACUCUGACCGAGCAACGCCGCGUGAACGAUGAAGUAUUUCGGUACGUAAAGUUCUUUUAUUAGGGAAGAAUAAAUGAUGGAAAAAUCAUUCUGACGGUACCUAAUGAAUAAGCCCCGGCUAACUAUGUGCCAGCAGCCGCGGUAAUACAUAGGGGGCAAGCGUUAUCCGGAAUUAUUGGGCGUAAAGGGUGCGUAGGCGGUUAAAUAAGUUUAUGGUCUAAGUGCAAUGCUCAACAUUGUGAUGCUAUAAAAACUGUUUAGCUAGAGUAAGAUAGAGGCAAGUGGAAUUCCAUGUGUAGUGGUAAAAUGCGUAAAUAUAUGGAGGAACACCAGUAGCGAAGGCGGCUUGCUGGGUCUUUACUGACGCUGAGGCACGAAAGCGUGGGGAGCAAACAGGAUUAGAUACCCUGGUAGUCCACGCCGUAAACGAUGAGUACUAAACGUUGGGUAAAACCAGUGUUGAAGUUAACACAUUAAGUACUCCGCCUGAGUAGUACGUACGCAAGUAUGAAACUUAAAGGAAUUGACGGGACUCCGCACAAGCGGUGGAUCAUGUUGUUUAAUUCGAAGGUACCCGAAAAACCUCACCAGGUCUUGACAUGCUUCUGCAAAGCUGUAGAAACACAGUGGAGGUUAUCAGUUGCACAGGUGGUGCAUGGUUGUCGUCAGCUCGUGUCGUGAGAUGUUGGGUUAAGUCCCGCAACGAGCGCAACCCUUAUUGUUAGUUACCAGCACGUAAUGGUGGGGACUUUAGCAAGACUGCCAGUGAUAAAUUGGAGGAAGGUGGGGACGACGUCAAAUCAUCAUGCCCCUUAUGACCUGGGCUACAAACGUGAUACAAUGGCUGUUACAAAGGGUAGCUGAAGCGCAAGUUUUUGGCGAAUCUCAAAAAAACAGUCUCAGUUCGGAUUGAAGUCUGCAACUCGACUUCAUGAAGUUGGAAUCGCUAGUAAUCGCGAAUCAGCAUGUCGCGGUGAAUACGUUCUCGGGGUUUGUACACACCGCCCGUCA